AUGGUUUCAAUCGAAGCUCCAAUCAGAACCAUAGUCAAGGGAUUUUAUUAUCUAGCAACAACAAUCGCGGUGAGGAAAAUUGAAGAUGUGAAGUUGUUGUUGCACAAGAGAUUGCAGAAGUUUGUUGCCAAGAGGGAUAAAGGAUUUGUCGUGGUUGUUGCAGAGAAGGAUGAAGGAUUUGUUGUGGUUGUUGCAGAGAAGGAUGAAGGAUUUGUUGUGGUCGUUGCAGAGAAGGAUGAAGGAUUUGUUGUGGUCAUUGCAGAGAAGGAUGGUUGA